rnacentral:miRNA from 1 species
GUUGAGUGUGUGUGUGUGUGUGUGUGUCUAAAAGAGACACACACAUACACGCACAAAUACACACACACACACACACACAU